ACUCAAAGGAAUAGACGGGGGCCCGCACAAGCGGUGGAGCAUGUGGUUCAAUUCGAAGCAACGCGAAGAACCUUACCAACUUUUGACAUGCCUCGUAUGGUCGUCAGAGAUGACUUCCUUCCCGCAAGGGGCGAGAGCACAGGUGCUGCAUGGCUGUCGUCAGCUCGUGUCGUGAGAUGUUGGGUUAAGUCCCGCAACGAGCGCAACCCUCGGCCUUAGUUGCCAUCAUUCAGUUGGGCACUCUAAGGCGACUGCCGGUGAUAAGCCGGAGGAAGGUGGGGAUGACGUCAAGUCCUCAUGGCCCUUACAGGUUGGGCUACACACGUGCUACAAUGGCGGUGACAGAGGGAUGCAAUGGAGCAAUCCUGCGCAAAUCUCAAAAAGCCGUCUCAGUUCGGAUUGUGCUCUGCAACUCGAGCACAUGAAGUUGGAAUCGCUAGUAAUCGCAGAUCAGCACGCUGCGGUGAAUACGUUCCCGGGCCUUGCACACACCGCCCGU
rnacentral:rRNA from 1 species